AACCCACCUCUACUGCCCCAUGUCACGGUCCCUGCGGGGCCAGGCCUGCCUGGCACGUCCACCCCGGGUCUCCCUGCCUCACCCUCUUGCGCAUCCACAGUGAACAGGGGCAUCUUUCCAAAAUGCAGAUCUGGCCGGGUGCGGCGGCUCAUGCCUGUAAUCCCAGCACUUUGGGAGGCCGAAGCAGGUGGAUCACAUGAAGUCAGAAGUUGGAGACUAGCCUGGCCAACAUGCCUCCAGCAUCGCCUCCUCUGGGAUCUUCUCUGACUUCCCAGUCGGUUUCAGAAGCCUCUGAUGACCCCAUGCGGAGAAGACUGCUCCCCUCACUGCUGGCACACGGCAGAUGCUCAACACUUGCUCCAGCUUCGCCUUCCGCCGCGAGUUGAAGCUCCCCGAGGCCUCCUCAGAAGCAGAAGCCACCACGCUUCCUGUACAGCCUGUGGGACCCGGAGCCAGUUCAACCUCUUUUCUUUAUAAAUUACCCAGACUCGGCCGGGCACGGUGGCUCACGCCUGUAAUCCCAGCACUUUGUUGAGACCGAGGCAGGCAGAUCACGAGGUCAGGAGAUCGAGAACAUCCUGGCUAACACGGUGAAACCCCGUCUCUACUAAAAAUACAAAAAAUUAGCCGGGCGUGGUGGCGGGCGCCUGUGGUCCCAGCUACUCGGGAGGCUGAGGCAGGAGAAUGGUGUGAACCCGGG
rnacentral:lncRNA from 1 species